AAAAAAAAAAAAAAAAAAAGAUGCCAUGUAAAGUAUAUAGAUUUUACAGAAUCUGCUUGGUUUCCCGUAUGGAUCAUCUUACUUUAAUCAAGAACUGCUUUUGUCCAUGAAAGAAUGCCAUACAAAAGAUAAAGCUUUACCUAAAAAGUACCUGCUGACAAUAUUUUCCUUGGGAUGCUAGGCUAGCCUGAUAACUGACAAGGAGAGUGAUGAAUAA
rnacentral:misc_RNA from 1 species